rnacentral:rRNA from 1 species
UACAGAGGUCUCAAGCGUUUGUUCGGAUUCAUUGGGCGUAAAGGGUGGCGUAGGCGGCGCGGUUAAGUCGGGUGUGAAAUCAUUGGAGCUUAACUCCGAAACUUGCAUUCGAUACUGCCGUGCUUGAGGACUGGAGAGGAGACUGGAAAUUUACGGUGUAGCGGUGAAAAUGCGUAGAUAUCGUAAGGAAGACCAGUGGCGAAGGCGGGUCUCUGGACAGUUCCUGACGCUGAGGCACGAAGGCCAGGGGAGCAAAACGGG